AUGUUCAGCUGGCACCGGAGCUUCGCGCUGGCAGCGCCCUGGAGGCGAGGUGAGCCCGGCCGCCCCCCGCGGCACACCCCCGGCCCCGCUCCUCCCUCCCGGCCGGGGCCGCCCGGGCGGUGCCCGGCCCGCUGCGGGCAGCACGGCCCUGCCCGCCCCGCCGCCGGCCCGAUGCUGCGCUCGCUGCUCUCCGGCUGCCUCUGUCCCCACGCAGGUAAGAAGAGCCCACCUGCUGAGGACAAAGUAGUGCUAACACACAUGAAGAUACUGAGCAACGAAGGAAUUCAGAACCCAGCACUAACACCAGAGGCUCCCACUGAUGCAGCCUGCACCGAAGAGCCCCAUCUCCCCGGUGCCAGCCUCCCCCAGGACUGCCAGGGAAGCCCCAAUGUUGCGGCCCCGCCAGCAGACCCAGACUGUGCAGAUGCCCCGGCAGGCACAGACUAUGUAGCCACACUGCCUGACCUCAGCACCUUCGAGUCCAAGUGCCAACUUCACAGAUUAUCCAAAUUUGAAUCUGAGGACUCAGGGGUGGAAUUGCCAAGCGGGGCUAAUUCUCCAUCAACACCAACAGGUUCAGAGAAGAGCUUUGUGCUUCACAACAGAGACUCAUUUUGCGACUCGGGCGUGCUUAGCACCUCUUCUUCUCCAGAAAUUGACCAUCUGAUAAUGAGAACAUGUAAAGAACGUGCCAGAAAAGUCAGCCACCAAGGUCCAGAGAGUGAAAAGCAAGCAGAGUACUACAGCCAGGAGUCUGAUGCUGUGCAGGUUCCUACAGCUCCCCUUGACAACUUCAGUGUCUCUCAGGAAGGAGAAGAUCCUGAUGAACAUUUUGACCAGAGCGAAAGGCAAUCUCUGGAAAAGGAACCUGCACCAGAGAUGGACCUACCCAGGGAAAGCACUCUUCCCACCCCAGAUCCUGUAGAAGAGCCAAAGACAAUUGCUGACAAUUACCCAGAGACCUUUGGCAGCAUGCAAGACCUUCAGAUCCCUGGGCAUCCGCUGAAGAAGUACCCCACAAGUGACAGUCUGGAUGAAUACAUGGAUGAAUGCUGUAGACUGAGUGAGGUGAACCAAGGGAACAGCAAAGCCCUGGGAUCAGGCCUGGGAUACCUGGAACACAUUUGCCAACUGAUAGAGAAGAUUGGGCAGCUGCAGGAGCACAACCUGCGGCUCCAGAAACAGGUCUGCAGCUUGCAGAAAGAGCAGAAGAUGAGCCAGCUAAAAGAGGAGUACCUCAUGCAGCAUUGCUCCUGCGGAGCUGCCAGUGUGUUCCUCAACUCGUACCAAGACGUGAAGACAUUUUUCGCAGGGAGGAGCAGACCUCAUAGCCUCUUGGUUCAGACGGGAAACCCUUCUGAUCUUUCCAUCAUCCCAGAAAUAGGAGCCAACACCGAAAAGCUGAGCGGCUGCAGCGGAAGUGAGAGACACGCGGAAUCAGGAAACAGCCAGCCAAUGUCGGGGCUCAGGAAGCUGUCAAACAAUAGGAACAACAAGGAGAAUGAGUUCACAGAAGCUGGUAGCAUGGCAGAGGGGCAGGCUUUUCCGUCAAAGGAUCCUGCAGCAAGAAAGGGUCUGGACACCAGCAAGAACUGCUCGGGUGAGAGCCAUGCCUGGGGGAGAAUGAGAGAUCUCAUGAGGAAGACACGGCUGAGAAACCAGAGUAAGCUGGGGCUGUCCUCCGCCGCUCUGAAGAGGUCAUGCCCACAGUUGUACAGGCCAGAUAUUACAACUUCAGAGCUGAGGAAAACUGAGAGGAACUCCAUGAUUGUUCUGGGGCAGAACACGAAGAAUGAAAACAUAUGGCCUUUCUGAUAACCUGAAUCAAAUGGAACAAGGAAGGAGAAGUGAGAGCAGCAAUGGACACAAAAUUGAAAAGCCCAGGAUUGCUUUGUGCACCAUGCAUCCUCCAGCUGUUGACAGAGCAACUCUGAUUUGAGCGCUGAAAGGGAAAGAAGGAAGGGGGAGGUGAAGAAAGGUCCGAGGACAGACACGUGCUCAGCUACAUAUGGCUUCACUCCUGAAACUGAAGUACACACACAGAAUCAAGCUGCAGACAAAAACUGCAGCCCACAUCUUGGCAAUAUAACCAGCAGAGACAUUUAAAUGAGAUUUGGUAACUGUUCCUCCUAUCUGGGUUCAGAACAGAACUACCCAAAACGCUGAAGCUUUUAAGUUGUCUUUGCUUUGUGGGGACUACCUCCAGCUGAAAUAAAUUUAAGCCUCACAGGAGACA
ensembl:lncRNA